GAUGAACGCUAGCUACAGGCUUAACACAUGCAAGUCGAGGGGCAGCAUUGGGGUAGCAAUACUUCAGAUGGCGACCGGCGCACGGGUGAGUAACACGUAUCCAACCUGCCGCUUACUCGGGGAUAGCCUUUCGAAAGAAAGAUUAAUACCCGAUGGUAUAAAGAGUUCGCAUGUUCUCUUUAUUAAAGAAUUUCGGUAAGCGAUGGGGAUGCGUUCCAUUAGAUUGUUGGCGGGGUAACGGCCCACCAAGUCUACGAUGGAUAGGGGUUCUGAGAGGAAGGUCCCCCACAUUGGAACUGAGACACGGUCCAAACUCCUACGGGAGGCAGCAGUGAGGAAUAUUGGUCAAUGGACGAGAGUCUGAACCAGCCAAGUAGCGUGAAGGAUGACUGCCCUAUGGGUUGUAAACUUCUUUUAUAAGGGAAUAAAGUGAGGGACGUGUCCCUUUUUGUAUGUACCUUAUGAAUAAGGAUCGGCUAACUCCGUGCCAGCAGCCGCGGUAAUACGGAGGAUCCAAGCGUUAUCCGGAUUUAUUGGGUUUAAAGGGAGCGUAGGUUGACAUAUAAGUCAGCUGUGAAAGUUUACGGCUCAACCGUGAAGUUGCAGUUGAUACUGUAUGUCUUGAGUGUACAAGAGGUGGGCGGAAUUCGUGGUGUAGCGGUGAAAUGCUUAGAUAUCACGAAGAACUCCAAUUGCGAAGGCAGCUCACUGGGGUACAACUGACACUGAGGCUCGAAAGUGUGGGUAUCAAACAGGAUUAGAUACCCUGGUAGUCCACACAGUAAACGAUGAAUACUCGCUGUUUGCGAUAUACAGUAAGCGGCCAAGCGAAAGCAUUAAGUAUUCCACCUGGG
rnacentral:rRNA from 1 species